GAUCCUGGCUUAGGAUGAACGCUGGCGGCGUGCCUAACACAUGCAAGUCGAGCGAUUACUUCGGUAAAGAGCGGCGGACGGGUGAGUAACGCGUGGGUAACCUGCCUCAUACACAUGGAUAACAUACCGAAAGGUAUGCUAAUACAGGAUAAUAUAAGAGAUUCACAUGGAUUUCUUAUCAAAGCUCCGGCGGUAUGAGAUGGACCCGCGUCUGAUUAGCUAGUUGGUAAGGUAAUGGCUUACCAAGGCGACGAUCAGUAGCCGACCUGAGAGGGUGAUCGGCCACAUUGGAACUGAGACACGGUCCAAACUCCUACGGGAGGCAGCAGUGGGGAAUAUUGCACAAUGGGCGAAAGCCUGAUGCCAGCAACGCCGCGUGAGUGAUGAAGGCCUUCGGGUCGUAAAACUCUGUCCUCAAGGAAGAUAAUGACGGUACUUGAGGAGGAAGCCCCGGCUAACUACGUGCCAGCAGCCGC
rnacentral:rRNA from 1 species